GGGCUCAGUUCACCAGCACACAUAUUAGAAUUGGAACAACACAGAGGAGAUUAACAUAGCCCCUAUGGAAGGACAUGCAAAUGCAUAAAGCAUUCUGCAUUUUU